UAUAUAUGUCUAGUUGUAAUAUAAUAUUCGUAAAGUAUUAUUUUCGAACUAUAAAGCGUUUUUUUUCUUACCUUUUAUUAUCAUGUUAAAAAUGGCAAAAAUUUAUUGGGGUCCGGAGGACUCCAUGGUGCCUAUAGCUUAACUAAAAAGGCAUGGUACCUGUUACGGGUUAAAAGCGUCAAAGUAGCAUCAAAAUUUCGAUUCGGGAUAUUUUUUUCUUUAUCAAAACUCAUUAAUUACAACUUGUGUUGUUAUCGCAUCGCCGGUACGUUCAAAUUGAACUUUAAUACACUUUUAAUAUUGAUACCGACUAUUCUGUUAUAGAGAUCUCAGCGCAUUGUCACACUUGUGUCGUCAUUUUAUAUGUAUUUUUUUUUCUGUCGAUCAACGAUGAUCGUAUCUUCACUUUUCGUGUCAAGAAUGUCACCUGUCACUUGUGUGUAUCUGAGGCGUUUGUUAUUUCGUGCCGGGGCGUAGAGCGUUGCUCGGUCAAGUCGUUACAAGAGUGUUCGCGUGUACAGGCGCCGCGGGGAUGAAUGAAAUACGAUUGAAUCAUGCUGAAUAAGCGGAAGCUUUGCUGAUUCGCACGUGCUAACGGACCGACUCGCGCGGCGGCCGUAAGAGAAUUGUCAUUUGAUAUUUCCCGCUUCUGAUCUCGUGUGAUGCGUGAACAACGUUUUCUCAAAGGUGUUAAGUGCUUUUCAAUACUUAAUGAGAGACUUCCCACUUGCGAUUAAAAAUAUCCCGCCCGCGAGUAGCGUUAAUUAUUUCGCAGAGAAUUCUGACGAUGACGUUGCUUGCCAGAAAGAAAGAGAAUUUGGUGUCGCAUUAAUUUUAAUCUUUAUAUUAUAUUAUUGAUAUGACAAUAGAGAGAGAUAGUGAAGAAUACUCACUUACAUAACAUUCCUAUAUACUUGAGGCAAGAACACAAAAGUCAAAUAUCGAGAGAGAGAGAGAGAGAGAUAUCCGUCUAUUGUUAAGAAAAUCAAUUACUCGUUAUACUUUGCUUCUUUUAAAUAUAAUAGUUAUCUUCUGUAUGAAAUAUUUUCUUGAUAAUAGUUUUAGAAUAUGUUCAUCACGAAUUUUAGAAAGGCUUAUUAACAUGUAUUAAAAAAAAGAAUAUUUUCUCUUUGCGAGAAUAUUAUGAGACUUUAUCGAAGAAAAGAUUUAUUUGACUGUAUAUGUAAGUAAAUCGAAUUUUUGUUUUAAUUUAAUAUUCUUGAUUGAAAUGCCGAACUUACUAGAAUUCAAGAUGUAUUUUAAGUAAAUUUGAUGCUUAUCAUGAGCUUAGAUUUGCGAAUACGUAUCUGAGUCGAGUAACUUGAAUAUGUAUUUUGCGAUAUGUAUUUUUCUGUGUGUACAGAAAUGUUGCGACGCAUUACGGACAGGAAGGUGGUCACUAUUCGUAUCGUAAUGUAUUCUAAACGACCAGAAAAAAUCAACAAAAGUCGAUCAUCGAUACGUUGAAAUCCGCAGUUCUGUAAAGAUCAAAGUUAGCGUUGGUCAAAAUGCUAUUUUAAAUUCGCGACGUCUGACUCGCAGGCGCAGGCGAAAGUGACGACGUGUGCGUUAUUAAUACCUCGCUUAUAUGCGCGUCAUUGUCCAGACAAUAAUUCUCUUAUAUAGAAGCGGCUGCUCGCGAGCCGCAGUUUGUCCACAUCGUUUAACCUUCAAGCAUCGGUCAGAGGUUCCGUCUCGGCGGGAAUCGGCGAGGUCGCGGUGUGAGAACGGAUACGUAAAAGGAUACACGGAGAAAGUGCCGCGUUAUUAUCGACUAAAUUUCGAAUAACGACGAACUCUGAGAUCCAUUUCAUUAGAGGAUUGACCUUCAUUGGGGAUUAAUUUAUUUCGCGGAAAUUAUAACUAAUAGACUUCCAUCUAUUACGUGCUCCGAAUAUCAUCUCAUUAGGAGCGUUUUCGCGAAUCACAUGCGGCGAAUCGAUUGUGCAAUAGAGACCUCGAGGAAGUCGACGGUACAAUCGCGAAUUGCGAUAUUGUGCUCCCGAUACAAUUAAUAGCCAUUCCCCCGCGUCGUUCACCAUCCCGUUCCGAAAUCGGACGUUUCCUGCUGGCUUUUGCGUAACGCGCGACCGACACGUGUGCAAAAGAGCGCGCACACUCGCCGGCGCAUUCUGGA